GAUGAACGCUGGCGGCGUGCCUAAUACAUGCAAGUCGAGCGAACGGACGAUAAGCUUGCUUCUCUGCUGUUAGCGGCUGACGGGUGAGUAACAUGUGGAUAACCUACCUAUAAUACUGGGAUAACUUCGGGAAACCGGAGCUAAUACCGGAUAAUAUUUUGAACCGCAUGGUUCAAAAGUGAAAGACGGUCUUGCUGUCACUUAUAGAUGGAUCCGCGCUGCAUUAGCUAGUUGGUAAGGUAACGGCUUACCAAGGCAACGAUGCAUAGCCGACCUGAGAGGAUGAUCGGCCACACUGGAACUGAGACACGGUCCAGACUCCUACGGGAGGCAGCAGUAGGGAAUAUUGGGCAAUGGGCGAAAGCCUGACGGAGCAACACCGCGUGAGUGAAGAAGGCCUUCGGAUCGUAAAACUCUGUUAUUAGGGAAGAAAAGAAGUGGAAGAAACUGUCGAUAUCUUGACGGUACCUAAACAGAAAGCAACGGCUAACUACGUG
rnacentral:rRNA from 1 species